GUACACGAGCGGCGAACGGGUGAGUAACACGUGAGCAACCUACCCUCAACUUCGGGAUAAGCCUCGGAAACGGGGUCUAAUACCGGAUAUCACUUCCUGCUUCAUGGUGGGGGGUUGAAAGUUCUGGCGGUUGGGGAUGGGCUCGCGGCCUAUCAGCUUGUUGGUGGGGUAAUGGCCUACCAAGGCGUCGACGGGUAGCCGGCCUGAGAGGGCGACCGGCCACACUGGGACUGAGACACGGCCCAGACUCCUACGGGAGGCAGCAGUGGGGAAUAUUGCGCAAUGGACGAAAGUCUGACGCAGCAACGCCGCGUGAGGGAUGACGGCCUUCGGGUUGUAAACCUCUUUCAGCAGGGACGAAGCGAGAGUGACGGUACCUGCAGAAGAAGGACCGGCCAACUACGUGCCAGCAGCCGCGGUAAUACGUAGGGUCCGAGCGUUGUCCGGAAUUAUUGGGCGUAAAGGGCUCGUAGGCGGUUCGUCACGUCGGGAGUGAAAACUCGGAGCUCAACUCCGAGCCUGCUUCCGAUACGGGCAGACUAGAGGUAGGCAGGGGAGAGCGGAACUCCUGGUGUAGCGGUGGAAUGCGCAGAUAUCAGGAAGAACACCGGUGGCGAAGGCGGCUCUCUGGGCCUUACCUGACGCUGAGGAGCGAAAGCGUGGGUAGCGAACAGGAUUAGAUACCCUGGUAGUCCACGCCGUAAACGUUGGGCGCUAGGUGUG
rnacentral:rRNA from 1 species